rnacentral:rRNA from 1 species
GACGAACGCUGGCGGCGUGCUUAACACAUGCAAGUCGAACGGACAGACAGAGAGCUUGCUCUCUUGAAGUUAGUGGCGAACGGGUGAGUAACGCGUAAUCAACCUGCCCUUCAGAGGGGGAUAACAACGGGAAACCGUUGCUAAUACCGCGUACGAUUCAUGAACGGCAGCGUUUAUGAAUGAAAGGUGGCCUCUAGGUAUAAGCUAUCGCUGAAGGAGGGGAUUGCGUCUGAUGAGCUAGUUGGAGGGGUAACGGCCCACCAAGGCAAUGAUCAGGGGACGGUCUGAGAGGAUGAACGGCCACAUUGGGACUGAGACACGGCCCAAACUCCUACGGGAGGCAGCAGUGGGUAAUCUUCCGCAAUGGACGAAAGUCUGACGGAGCAACGCCGCGUGAGUGAUGAAGGUCUUCGGAUUGUAAAGCUCUGUUAAUCGGGACGAAAGAGUUCUGCGUGAAUAAUGCAGAAAAGUGACGGUACCGGAAUAGAAAGCCACGGCUAACUACGUGCCAGCCGCCGCCGUAA